UACGUAGGGGGCAAGCGUUGUCCGGAAUCAUUGGGCGUAAAGAGCGUGUAGGCGGCCCGAUUAGUCUGCUGUGAAAGUCCAGGGCUCAACCCUGGAAUGCCGGUGGAUACUGUCGGGCUAGAGUCCGGAAGGGGCGAGUGGAAUUCCUGGUGUAGCGGUGAAAUGCGCAGAUAUCAGGAGGAACACCAAUGGUGAAGGCAGCUCGCUGGGACGUGACUGACGCUGAGACGCGAAAGCGUGGGGAGCAAACAGG
rnacentral:rRNA from 1 species